GCCCGUGUGGCUCAGUUGGUAGAGCAUGGUGUUUGCAAUGCCAGGGUUGUGAGUUUGAUUCCCACGGGGG
rnacentral:tRNA from 1 species